UGAUUCUGAGUCACCGCAGGGUUGAAGACUAUUUGUGUAAUUCUCACAAUUUUUGACUCAGGAAUAUUACUCCAUCUUCUCCAGAAGAUGAAAGUGAAGUUCAUGUCUUGAGGGGACUAGAACCCAGGUCUAUACUUUCUGGUUCCUUAGUUUUUUUCCGUUUAACACAACUUGCCCGGAGGGCUGAAGUCUUGGGUUUAGAGUAGAUAAGCGCGGUUCUUCCAAGUGUAUUCCACUUUAUCCUCUGAGUGUUCCAUGAGAAACCAAGGAAUAUAUUUGCCGGCAGCAGGGUGUAUGGAAAAGAGCACAGGGAUUUGCACUGCAGUGCUUUUCAUGUUGGUUAAUUGCGUGACUUAUGGGCAUGCCACCUUGCUAAGCCUCAGUUUCUCAUUUCCAUAAUGGGAAUGGCAAACAAUAUCUCAAAUUGCAUAGGAAUAUGAAAUGAGAAAAAAAUCUAUACAGUAGUGAAACGAGUGCCUGGAACAUAGUAGUAGUGUACGAACCGUUCACAGUACUGAACAAACAGCAAUUCUUUUUGCUAUGUUUAUGGCUACUAAUAGCUUUCUCUUUGCCAGACCAUGGCAUUUAUCCCGUUUUGCAAUCCUUUCCCCUUUUCUGUAAACAAAAGAAAGUAGUGACUGGGGAGAUGGCACUAGAGGUGGGAUAGAGUCAAAGAUUAUAAUGAAUCACGCAGAAUCUCUCUCACACCUAGUGUAAGAUGCAUAAUUUCUAUACACGGGGCUUGAUGGGAAAAUGAGGUUGGAGCAGGGGAUGUGUCGGGAAGCUGCAUUUCUGCCUAUCAAACCCUCUAUUUUUUCUCAGAUGGAGACGGGUGGGGGAGGUGAAGGUCCCUCCCAGAGAUGACACCACUACCUAAGCAUCACACUACCUUGGCCUCACUUGGAUAAGCACAUUUGUCUGGUGUAAUCCUAGGAGCUGCUAGACAUAGACAAGUACUUUCAUCACUUGAACGGUGAGCUUCAGUGUUAGAGUUGCUCUAUUUAUACUUUGCUCUGCAAGCAAUCCUGAUGCUUUUACAUAAGUGGCAAGCUCCACUACCUUAGCAAACAAGUAAAUAAGGUGAUAAACAGUACUCUCUUUUCCGUAGGGGCGUGUGAUGAAUUCCCAAGCCAGCUUCACUUCCCAUUAUUCUGGCCAACUUACCUAUUUUAAAUCACUUGAAAUGACAGUGGGUUUUAUUGUUUUCCCCUCUCAAAGCCGGGCCUUGAUAUGACAGUUAAUUUGCAAACACAUGGGAGCUGGCUGGGUGACAGGCAGGGCAAGGGAUGGCGAAGUGGGCUGGUUCAACUCUCGCAACGUAAUUGCUCAAACUUAGCCUUGCUGGGUCUAUUCAGCACUUCUGUGAUUACAUACUGUUCCAAGACUCAAGAAGAUGAAGGUUUGGAAGCAUUGCAUACCAUGUGUAUUUUCUCGGCAUUGCAAACUUCUCUGGUUUCAAGGGUCAGCUUUCUGAUCCAUGCAGAAUUAAAACAGAGGCUUGGGAAAUCAGAGAUUGCAUGGGGGAGCCACACACCUGCUCAGGCACAGGAAAGGCCUGGAAUGUCAAGGCACUUGAGCAUAAUCUGGUUUCUGUAUACAGACCUGGAUCCUUCCUCCACAGAUGAGGCAGUUACAGACACUUAGGAUUCUGGAAAAUACCUGGAUGCUCCUACCCUACCCCUUCUACUCUGAGGGCAGAGGAGAACCAACAGUAUAGGUAUUAGACUGAUUUACAUUUUGUUUCCUUCUUCGAGAUGAAGUGGAAGCACUCUUGAUUAAUGUGUCCACACUUGAAUGUCCAUAAAAGUAGCAAAUGCUGGCGUCCAGCUGUUAAUGAAUGAUCUAAAAGAUUACUUGGUAGCUUUUAGUAUAAUCCUGAAAUUAGUUAAUGGAAGUGCCACUAAUGAACAUCUAUUAAUAGAGGCAACUGAUGUUAACACUGCUAAUGUAACGGCCAGGAGGUGUAAUAAAACGUGUGGACAGAGCAAACCUAAUACUGUUCUAUAUCAAAGUAGCUCCCUUGAAAAAUGUAAAGCCAGGUAAUGAUUACAACUAGGAAGCAUUUUAACAACAGGGUCAUUGCUGGCAGGGCUCACCAUCGAGUUUUAAAUAGAGUAGCGGACAGCUAAUACUUUGAGACCUUCAUUCUCUGUGGGACCUUUCUUGAUUACUCUUACUGGGUGUCAAAGCUCUGAUUAUUUCUCUGAACUCUUAUUACAUAACAAGGAGCUUUUUAAUUUGAUAUUUAAGUUUCUUUAUGGUUCUUUGUCUUAUGGGUGUUGUAAAUUAUGAGCAAUAGAAACCAGGGACUCUCUAUCCAUAAUAGGACGGCUUUUUGUUUUUAAUUUUUUUAAUGUUUUAUUUAUUUUUGAGAGCGAGAGACAGAGUGUGAGUGGGGGAGGGGCAGAGAGAGAGGAGACACAGAAUCUGAAGCAGGCUCCAGGUUCUGAGCUGUCAGCACAGAGCCCGAUGCGGGGCUUGAACUCAUGAACUGUGAGAUCAUGACCUGAGCUGAAGUCUGACGUUUAAUCGAUGAGCCACCCAGGUGCCCCAAGGAUGUUUUUCAUCUCACCCGGGGCUGAGUCCCAUCCUCUGUGACCUCUUAGAGUGUUUUGUUUCUUUAUAUCCUAAUCAUACCAAUGUGCAAAAAAAGAACCAUUAAUUUCUCUCCUUUACGAGGUUCUUUGGAAUUAGGCAUUCUGUCUUGUAUCUCUGAUUCCCUACCUCCGGCACCAGGCUCUGCAACAAUGCCAGGGCAGUGCUGAUUAUUGUGGCCAAAGAGAUAAUUGUGUCGUUUGGACUCAGUUUGUGCCUUUGUCUUAGGAAACUCAGAAAACAAGGGGCUGCUCCCUGCCUUCCAAGGGCUCACAGUCUAGACAUACUUAUGUAGAAUUCAGCUCAUCCUGGGAAAUGAAUUCCCGCAAGAGGAAAUGCACUUAGCAUAUGUGUAGUGUGUGCUGAAAAUUGCUUUUUUCUUUCCAAAUGAAAUCAUUUAUUUCAUUAAAAAAAAAAAAACAAUUUCCCUUGAUUACUGCCCUUCGUAAAUAAAAUUAUCGUCAAGGCCCUGACACAGCUCUCUGCUAUGAAAUACAGAACUCCUGAAAGUCAGUUAUUCUCCACCUCAUCGCGUCUCAGUGUAAAGGAUACCCACGCUCUAGUAUCACACACGUGAGAGCUUUUCUUUCUUCCCGCAGUAGAUAUUAGCGUUCACUCUGCCUAUGCGCAGAUGACAUACACAGCUACGCCUCCGUGGGAAUUCACGUACAUAGAAGCAGCAAGAUGGAGCUAGUUUUAGCUUUGGGGGCCACAGGAUGAUGUGGAAAAGCCUGCCGUCUACACCGGCGUGGCACUGGAAUGACAGCCAAAUGGAAGCAGCUGCAGCCUCCUGAGAAACAAAGCUGGAGAAUUUGACAGCAGAAGCAAGCGGCUGCAGCCCAAAUCCCCGGGUGUCAAGAGCCCUGCUGUGGGGCCUGGCGAAGGCAGUCGUGGAUUGGCACCACUGAAAUCAUGGGUUUCGCUAAAUGGCUUGCCUUUUAUGAACCUUUGAGAAAGGGAAAGCAAGUGUUCUCUCGUGUAUUCAAGCCGUUAUUUGUUGAAAGGCUACUGUGGGUCCGUCACGAUUCAUUUCAUAAUGGUUAUAUGCUAAAAUGCUCACAUGUUAAUAAAUUGUAUUUAUUUUUUAAUGUUUAUUUAUUUUGAGAGAGAGAGAGAGAGAGAGCAUGCUUGUGAGCAGAGGAGGGGCAGAGAGAGAGAGAGAGAGAGGGAGAGAGAGAAUCCCAAGCAAGCUCCCUGCUGUCAGCGCAGAACCUGACGUGGGGCUCAAUCUCAUGAACCCUGAGAUCACGACCUGAGCCAAAAUCAAGAGUUGGACACUUAACUGACUUAGCCACUCAGGCACCCCAAAUUGUAUUUAUUUUUAUACGUAAUCUAAUAACCAUAAUCAUGAUGCUGACUGAUUUCAACCUUUCAUUUUGACUAUGUACUAAAAAGCUGGUUACCUGGCUGCUAUUCACAUAUAAACCGAAUUUCUUCUGUGUGCAAUUAACAUGGAUAAAACUUGAGUAGAAAAGGUGCCAAUUAGAGACAGCUAAUGACCUCUGACCCCACUGAGAUGCAUGAAUACCAUUUUCCAAAUUAUAAAAAAAUAGAAAAAUAACAAUGCAGUUCAGAAAAAUAUAUUUUCCCAUAAAUAAAGAUAAUUUGUAUUGAAGAACACAACUUGGGAACUAAUUAAACAGAGAAAACACUUCAAACGAUUGCCAGAGAAACCCCUUAAUUCUUUUCAAAGUAGAACCUGUCCUCGUAUUUCUCUCUCUCGUACUCUCUAUGCGGCUACAACACUUCAUUUGUUUAGUCAAUCAAGAGUUGACAUUAUCUGCAAGAUGCUCUGCUGACAACUCUCCCAAAUACUUCUAGAUCAUUCUAUUCCCACAGCACUGCACCACUGUUGUUGAUGUGCUCCAUCUCCAUGUCCUUUCCUGGAAGGGACUGUGAUCUUCUGAGCAUCACCCGAUGACUAUGCUUUUCUAAAAAUGCUUUGGAAACAGCCCGGCAGCAUUUAUGUUGUGUGUCAUACACAUUAUCUCUUUACCCCAUUGUAUUUUGUGCUUGGUUCCUUAAGGAGCAGUUAUUCGUGUGUAAAAGAAAGACUGUUAGGAAGGAAACAGUAUGUAGGUUGAAGCUACGAAUGACGUACAUCUACAAGAGUCAAGUUACUAAUGACCAUGACGUUGGUACAAAAAGCUGGGUUAGUUCCUGUCUCACUAGAUGGAUUCAGAUACUUUUGUGGUGGUGGUGUUGAUCUGUGAAAAGCCCAACCAAAACUCAGAACUAAGGUCUAGGAAGAUGAACUGAUUUUUUAAAAUACAAGUUCCAAAUCUGGCGCUACAACUUCAGCUACCAUAUAUCUCUAUAUCCCCAGUUUGCGGCCUUUGUGCAGACUCCAGGCUCAAGGAGAAGCCACUGUAUUAUGAGAAGGCUUUGUGAGCUUAUGGCUUACGUGAGCCCCAGCCGGUCCAGAGACAUUAUGGGUUCCCCUCAAGAUUAAGCUUUUGUAGGUUUGCCUUGGUUCCUCAGUUCUGUAUACAAAUCCUCAGCUCCAGACAAACCCUGGGCACUUGCGCCUUCUUGCUGUUCUUACUUUGUGCCUUUCCCGCUUCUUGGAAUGCUCUGACCCUCAUUACUUCAUUCAAGUUCCCUUAACGCACAUUCUAGAGGAUGGCUUUCAUCCUAACAACUCAGGCAUUACAUCUGAGGUCAGAUGAGAAGCACUACUUAGCUCUACACUGUAAAACAAGAUAAACACUUGCCCUUACCUGUUUUACAAUCUUAGUUCGACAAAGGAGAUGGUUACAAUUUUCCAUCUCAGCUUUUACUUGAUUGCUAAAAGGAUGCAGGAACACAGUAUGCAUGGUUCGGUAAAUGGGAAGUGUUUAUGUAUUGUUCAAUUUUCCGUUAAAAUUAUAAUUAAUUGAAUGUUGUUUAGAAUUAAUGAGCCUAGGCAGAUAUUUCAUAUAAAAUGUAAUGCAAAUUUUGUAUGUAAAUCAACGUCUGCUCUUUACCAUAUUUACUUUACAGCCUGCACGAACAAGAGCUAAUAGUACGUUUGUCAACAAAUUAAAAGGAUGACUUUUUUUUUUUUGCUCUCCAUUUAGAAGAGCCCUUUCGUCUUUGUUUGAAAGCUUCCUUCAUGUGGGAGGAAGUUUUCCCUUUGCCGAUACCUGCUGCCAUAUAUGUGGAAGGCAGAAAUGAUGGAUAUGGCUGACAGCAGUUUAAAACAAACCUGUCUCGAUGUACCAGCAGUUAAAUGCUCAGACUGUAUCACCAAACUAAGAGGGAAGGGAGAAAUCAAGCCUGACCUUUAACACCUUUCUCAAGCCUUGCUCGAUUCUCUGAACGGGCCCCAUCACUGCUUGCUAAAAUCUUCCUGGUCUGCUUUGUCUUAGGACACACCAUAAGGAAUACUCAGUAUUUCCACAAGAAUAGUAAAUGCCACAUAUGCAAGAGAGGUACUACUUCUUGGCAGUUUUUUCUUUUAUUCUGAACUGAAAAAGGUAGUAUGCGAAAAUAAGGCAAAAUUCAAGUUAGAUUUUGAAGAGUUUCAUAUCCAUAUCCGUAUAAGAAAUAGAAAAUAUCCAUCACCCUUUUGGCAUUAACAUCAAAUUUUGGUGAGUAUACCUGAUAUACAUCUACAAAUCUUCUUUUUUUUAUUUUUUUAACGCUUAUUUAUUUUUGAGAGAAAGAGACAGAGCAUGAGUGGGAGAGGGACAGAGAGAGAGGGAGACACAGAAUCAGAAGCAGACUCCAGGCUCUGAGCUGUCAGAACAGAGCCCAACGCAGGGCUUGAACUCACGAGCGGUGAGAUCAUGACCUGACCUGAGUGGACUCUUAACUGACUGAGCCACCCAGGUGCCCACAUCUACAGAUCUUUUUGAUGGCUCAGGACUCCAAACCUUCCCACUUAUUUUCAUAGGUGACACUUUGGAGGAGUGACUAUUUCUCUCAAAAUGGUUGUAUCGGGCUAUAUUUUCAUCCCCUUGUUUUUUCUUCUUGAUUUGAGGUCAAAAUACCCAUUCUUUUCUUCAAAUGGGUUUUCCCAUCUAUGGUGGUGAAUCCAGAACUCUUACUUUUCUCUGAAAAUUAAUUCUUCUGCAGAGCUCCUUACACGGAUCUCCUCCCCUGAGCUUUGGGCAAUUACAUUCUCUCAUGUCUUUCACAUAAAUCUCACUUAGAAGACAAACCCCUCAGGUUAAACUGCUGUUGGGUGUGUGCAUUUCUCAUGGAGAGCCAACAACACCUACAUCCACAGCAGCCACCUUCACCGCUACCUGUGAAAGCAUCUUACUUUGGGAACCUAUUUUCUUUUUUCAGCAUUCUUGUUUGAAUGUGAAUCCAGCCCAGGACAGGGACACUGGAGUCAGGCUGGCCACCCCCGGACUCUGGCCUGGGACACCUAUGAUGUGGGGAGGCACUGGACUAGGAACUAGAGGGGUGUGGUCAACAAGAGGGAGAUGAAGUUUCUGAGAUGAAGAAGCCUACAAUCUAAUAGAAUGAGGCCGUGUCCUAAGACAGAACAGGCCAGGAAGGUGUUAGCAGGCAAUGGGUCUGGUUCAAAGAGGAAAGCAAGGCUUGAGAGAGGUGGUAGGUCAUUAAAAGUCAAGUAGACAAAGGGUGAGAAUCUACUUAGGAGUUUGUGGAAGCAGAAACCCGGAGGAGACCUUGGAUAUGAUCCAAAAGACUGUGCUCUUUUGGACCUUUAAUUCUGUCUGGGCACCUAAGUCACUGGAUGGUCAUUAAAGGCAAAGAAAAUCAGGGGCAUGUAGGUAGGGAUGUCCACAUUAGGCUGGCACAUAGAUGCUCCAAUUACAGUGUGUUAUUUUAAGAGAAAUGGAACAUGUGAAUGUGGCACAGAUCACUAUUUUUUUGGUCUCCAACUGUUUUCCGUGGAAUGACAAGGUAUAUAUAUUCAUAAUGAUGUGCUGUUUAGACGGCAUCUAUCUACACAGAGAGACUGGAGAUUAGAAGAGUAGGAUUGUAUAGCAAAGGGGGGGGGACUUAAUGCAUAUCUUCGAACUCAAUGGCCUUUGUAGGAGUCCUAAUCACUUUUUGUUACUGUCCAGCUUCCUCUUCUGUUUCACACUAGCAAUACCCCCUAAGAGCUAUGACGUAAAUCUUCCAAAUUCCUUACAACAUUUGCAUAUUCUAGGAAGUUAAGUAUGAGUUUCUGUUAUAUAAAAUAACUCAAAUAUUGUUCAAAGAAUUUCUUUUGUGGACUUUUUUUUCUUCUGGAGGAGAUUAAUGUAUAUUAUUAUCUAUGGAAGCCAUUCUCUCCUAAGAGCAACAAUGUAGGUACUUGGAUGUUGUUUGCUAUGGAACUUACCUUUACAGAGAUAAUUGCAGUAACCUUUCAAACGAACAUAUGCAUAUACCCGAACUUGCACCUGUCACUGUUGCCAUGGAAACGGUUCCAAAACAUAAGAUAUGAUUCUAUUAUUGAGGCCGUAUAGUUUCCCAAAUAAAUCUUAAUGGAAGUGUAACAGGAAAAAAAAAGAAUUUUAUGGAGAAUAAUUUUAAAUUAUGUAGUGAAGUUUGUGACCACAUCUUACUCAAAUCACAUCAGUAACCUUCAUCUGAAUAGGAAGCAACAGUCAGUAAAUGUCAAGCAUACAUAAAGAAACAUAAAGGAGGUUUAUUUUAAGAUAAGUGAAGUGCCCAAAUGCUACCUCUCUAAUGUUCAUCUUCAUCAUUGUUCAUUUUCGAUCACUAUUCCUAUCGUUGGCUGAGGCAUAGCAUUAGCUGUCUGGGUGGCGCAUCCUGAGGUCACGGAGUCAUCUGAUGAUUUUUCCAGUUUCUGGCAUCUUUGGACUUUCUGUUGUUAUGGUAAACAGACUUAGAUCUACAAAGCUUUUAGAGCUGAGAGACCUAAAAGAUGUCUGUUCCAGCCCCUUACUUUGCAGAUGAGGGAACCGAGGUCCAAAAAGAUAAAUGCUUUGUCCAAGGUACAGAAAGAAGUUCAUGUGGCUGAACUAAAACUCAGGUCCCUGACUCUCCUCCCCACACACAAUCAGUGUGCUGCCUUGGGAAUGCUAUCCACAUCCCUGCCAGUUAAAGCUAGUGCAUUCUUUCCUGGAGAGAGGAGUCAAGCUCUGGAAUUGAAUAUCAGGACCUUCACUGCCCACGUAUAUAUUCAAAGGAGCUAGUCCAAUUUGCUAAGUGAAAUAAAAUUUUAACUCCUCCCUGAAAGUAUGUAUCUCCUCACAAAAAUCUAUUGAUUAUGUGGGGAUUACUACUUUGCACCUUAGAAACUGAACUAAUGCCUUAAUAUAAUAAGAGAAGGAAAGUGUUUUCAACCUCUUCUGUACUUUGAUGUCACGUGAAUCAAAUGACCCAGGUUCAUAAUAAAGCCAACUGUGAAAUCAGUGUUCACCUCCAAGUCAAGUGCCUGGGAAACCCAUCGGUGGGGCUUAAUUUAAAGCUAUCUGAUGAUGGUUGGGGUUUCAGUGUAUUAUUUUGAGCACAUAGUUAUGGCAUUAUAUGUGGGGAAAGAAAGCCCUCCUGGUCAUAAAUCAUGACUGGCAAUGGGUUCUCCCAGGGACAGAGAAUACUUAUUAUGUAACUCUCGUUAAGGGUUGAUGGGUGGCCGACUCUGAGCUGAGUCUCUGGCAGAGCCGAGGACUCCCCAAGCUCGAGGAGGCCCCCGAGACAAUGUGUCAUGCAGCGAUGAUGGGUGGAAAAUACUCUCACUGUUCAAGUUGUGAUUGUUUUGGCUUCCUCUGGGGUAGGCUUUUGGCACUUGAACUGGCCCCAAUGUAAGACCGCAGCUGGAAAAUGCCAUUAUUUGGAUUGGUUAAGAGGAGUUUUUGAAUUGAACUCCACUGUAGCAUUAGGGAAGGAAAAACGUUCCUGCCACAUUCCGCAAGUCUCAGAGUAGCCAUCUUCCUACCGUUCAUGUCUCUGCAGAUGAAUGGGAUUAUAAACACUUUUUUGGGGUAUAGAUACACAGGUAUACAAGACGCUCAAAGUUAUGUAAGUCUAGAGUACUAGAGUAAUCCACUCCAUAAAUACGUAUUGAGAACACACGAAGUACCAGGCAUACUGUUCCAGUAUGGACACAUGUAUACACACACACAUGUAGACACGCACGUGUGUCACUUUUAAGACAGACAGUGAAUUCCUUCCUCACAGGCAUUAAAAGACAUAGCAUGAGUAAAGCACAUGGGGUGGAGAAGGCUGCCAUAACUAUUAAUUCCCCUUACACCUUUUCUUCGUCAUCCCCCAGCUUUGGGAUAUCAAUAACCUUCCUGCCCUUCCAAAUUCUGCAAACGACCCUCAACAAGGGAGAGACGGAAGGGUGCGAAAGUGAUCUGUUGUUGGCCCAGUUCAGAGCCUGUGACACCCAGGCUAAACCUUCUGCUUCUAUAAAGGGCGCCCACAGACUCUAGCUUGUUACCUUUCGGGUCUGGAAGGGAUGGGAGUUUUUUCAUCAUGAAUAUCUGCUAAUUUGUCUAAAUGCAGUGAGACCAGACACAUAGACAUAGGUGUGUUUCCUAACAAUAAAAUUAAUACAUUUAUGUUGCUAAAUAUUUGGGGUAGAAAAAAAUAAUUAUGCAUAAUCCUACAAUUCAAGCAAUGUUACCCCAGACAGUUUGGUGUAUUUCCUGUAGCUUGCUACUUGCUCUGGGGCAGACUCCCAAGAAAGGAACACAAUGGCACCAUGUUGUUUCCGUUUUGACUACGUAAUUGCUAUAUACAGCAGCAAUGACUUAUGACUUCCUGAAGCAGAGGAAAAGACGUGUAGUGUGUGAGAGACAGAGAGAAAAAGAGAGAGAGGAAGGUGGGGAGAAAAUGUAUAUGUGAAUAUUGAGGCGCAAUGAGUCUGCUAGAACUGAAAACAUCCGCGGUAUUUAAGUAGGCCUGUCUAGUUCUUUGUAAAUACCAUUGUAGAAAAACAAGCUAAAACCUAAGGGUAAAAAGUCUCCAUUUCAUUCCAUAUUUGCAAAUAAAGCCCAUUCCAUCAACAGUAAAAUUGCUUUGUGUAAUUUGCAAUCUCAUUGUCGUCCUGGCUAUCCCCCCGUCAGGCUGCCUGUGUUUAUGUAGCUUCUCCCCAUGGCACGUGCUCGGAGCAGAAAAUGAUAUAAUUAUAGAUCUCCAUCCACUCACAAGAACAAUGGCUGCGCCCAGCCACUGGACUCUCCCUUCUCGAAGCUCUCCAUAGGAAACAGAAUGGCGCAGCUACUGUUUUGAAUGUCCAAGGCCUAAAAAUGUUAGGAAGACAGCUGCCACAAGUUCUUUGCGCGAGGCGCCUCUUUGAACGUUUACCCUCGCUAUCGCUUUAUUCAUCCUGUCAGGAGCAGACCAAAGACCAGAGGUUUUAAGAUACCCUGCCUAUAAUUACUCAAUAAUAGCAGAAGACCAAGAGGGAUACAACCAUAACGCGGUUCAAGACUUUCUACGCUCGCUUAGAAAAAAAAAAAAAAGGAAGCUAAAUUUGCGUCUCUGAGCAAAGUCAGCCCGGGCCAUUUCAGAACCCUUAGUUUCUACGUAAAGUAGCUAUGAUGCUUUGGAUACUAAGGAAACCCCUAAAUGUUUAGACUAAACUAAGUCAAUACUUACUGGAGUGAUUUCCCACUCAUGAAAAGCAACUGGAAAAAUUUCUCAAGUCUAAGUUUCGCUAUCAAAAUAUUAGUGACAUCAUGGCUUGAGAGUUGGUUUUACCUGUUUUAGACUAAGAAACCCAUUCAAAUGGAGUCUGUGGCCCAUGACCUCACUCCAGGAAAACGAGAAAAGGAAUGCAAAGUGACAUCAGCACCAUAUAUCUUCUGAAGGGUAUUGCACUCCUCCUCUGUGAUGGAUUGGCCUGUGCACUCCAAAUAUAUUCACUGUGGCAAGGGCACCACCUCUGCUGUGCAUUUAGAAUUGAGUAUGUUUUUUCCCCCAGGACAGAUACAAAAUAUUCAGACGGUAUAAGAAUUUCUAUGCUCUAGGACCUCCCCCUGAUAGGUCUACAGAGGAGGAUAAAGAAACAUGUCUAAGACCUCGAGAGGACCACCUGAAUCAGGAACAAUGUAAAAGGAAAAGAGGUAGAAUGGGCACAGCUUGUAGACAGCUUGUGACAUUUCUGAGUAAUUACUGAGUGCAGAAGGUUCUGGAGUUGGAGGGCCAACUCUCCAUCAGCAGCCCGCCUUCUCUGAUACGAAAAAUGAACAUUUGAGCAAUUUAAUGGAAAGCCGUGAAAACGCAGCUGCAAGCAUUACAUUCCAGCUAGAUUGCUUCCUCUAAGCUUUCCUAUUUAGAAAAUUUGAAGUCUUCCAGACCUUCUCCCUAGGAUAUUAGGAAGUAAGCAGAAGCUCUGGAUUCUUGGAUUUAGCAAUGGGAGGUGAAUCAGGAAAGACUCCAUGCAAAUGAAGAGGGCCACAGGAUAACCACCGCCAUUUUGUUUAUUGAGCACCUACUACUACGUGAGUGUCCGUCCUGAACAUUUCACAUCUGUUAUCUCUUAAAUUUCCCAACAACGCUAAGGUAAUGACAGCCUUUCCUGCCAACCUAUGAAACCCAGGCUGGGAGUUGUCCAGUGACUUUUCCUGUAUAAUCUCACCCUAAGGGAAGACGUUACUCUGAUUUUUCCACCUCAUGUUUUUCCCUGGCAAUUGCUGUGAGAGAAUGUUGUUUUUGGAGUUGGGUAGGCAAGUGUUGUGCAUGAUAUGAAAAACCGAAAAGAAAAAAAAAAACAGAGAAAAAAAAUCCGACACAAAGCACUAGUCAAUUUCAGCCCCUCUCCAAAUGAUCAAGGCCUUUUCCUACUGCUGGAUAUUUUGAAACGAACAGGUUUGCCUCAAUUUUCAGCCGGGCUUUUGCUCUUUGUGGAGUGCAACCCCAGCCAGCCUCAGGAGAAUCAGUGAAAGAGGAUCAGUUACACUCUGGAGCAGCCACACGGGGGCACUCCUGAGAUCCUGAGGCGUCUUCCUACUAAGGAAAGAGUUGCUGGAGUCCCAAGUGAUCCCGCGGGUGUUUAACAAAGGGAAGGAAUGUCUAGAGGAUAAGACUCUGUGCACUCACUCUUUGGAAAAUGUCUGCUGUAUAUAUUUGCCAAGUGAUAAGGAAUCUAGUAAAUCCAGUAAAUCAGAGGCCAUUUGAUGAUUUACAGUGUUCAAAGGUAGCUUCCUAGCUCUUGAAAGAAUUAUAAAAAUGGCUAUUUAAAAAUAGGCAACCAAUAUAAUUGAGCAAGCUGAAAUGGGCUAUGAUACAAACCAUAUGUUACGGCCAUGGAAAAUCAAAAUAAAAGUAACUCAGUAUAAAUUGAGAAUCAUUCCCACUUGAAUUGACACAGUUUCAUGGAAGUGGCACACAGCUUGGAAUUCUAACCCUUGUGCUAUUCUAGAUAAGGGAUCUUUCUUCCCAACAUGACACCCUCCUCUUUAGUUUUAAGGGUCUAUUCCUGAUACCCCUUUCUGCCCAACACAUGCUACACUACGUGGUCACACGAAGUGCCUGUAAACGAAGAGAUACGUUCAAGCCAUUUUUAUCUUGUGACAAAAUUAGCAGUAAAAGUAAACAGGAAACAGGAAAUGCCCACCUGGAGAGAAUAAUGUGUAAACCUCAAGUAGAUUGGUGAGAAUUUCUCAAGACAGAGUGCUUGGGAGGACAAUUUAGCAAAGCAUGGAAUUUGACAAGGUAAAACUUCUGCACAUUCUGACUUUAUGCUGUACUCAUCUGUUUGUUUCUGACUAGAAAAGAACCAUUAAUACACAAGGCUCACUGGAACCAUCUAGUUCAGCAGAAUAAACCAAACCAGAGAAAGCAUGUCGUUGCAUUAAUAUUUUCAUUUGAUUUCAUCUUAUUUGUAAAGUUGACUCUUUAAAAAAAAAUCACUUAAUCUUAUAUACACCCCUAUGUUUAUUACAGUAUUGUUUAUAAUAGCCAAAAUGCGGAAGCAACCCAAGUGUCCAUCCACAGACGAAUGGAUAAAGACGUGAGAUAUGUAUCUAUCUGGAAUAUUACUCAGCCCUAAAAACGGAUAAGCUCUUGUCAUUUGUGACAAAAUGGAUAGACCCAGAGGGUAUUAUGUUAAGUGAACUAAGUCACACACAGAGAGAUAAAUGCCGUGUGAUUUCAUUUAUAUGUGGAACCAGAAAGCAAGGAAACAAAAAGCAGAAUCUGACCUAUACAGGCAGAGAACAAACUGAUAGUUGCCAGAAGGGAGGGAGGUGAGGGGACGGGCAAAAUGGGUGAAGGAAAGUAGGAGAUACAGGCUUCCAGUUCCAUUAUGAAUAAAUCACAGGGAUAAAAGACACAGCAUAGGGAAUACAGCCAAUGAUAUCAUAAUGGUGUUGUAUGGUGACAGAUGGUGGCCACACUUGUGAGCACAGCCUAAUGUAUAAACUUAUUGAAUCACUGUUUCACACCUGAAACUAAUGUCACAUUUGUGUGCCAACUACAUUCCAAUUUUAAAAAGUAGAUAAAUCGCUCCUUCCCUGCACUAUUUGCCGCUCUCUUGAGAUGCCUAUUGUGAUAAAUGCAAACAAAUGUUUUACGAUAAUGGCAAAUGUCCCCAAACAGACAUCAUGUCCAGUUUCUAAGCUGCAAUGAUAGCUUACAUUUUAUUAUAAUCUUUAAUAGAACUAUAUAUAAUUAUGUAUUAUGUGUCAGAGAGAUGUUGAUUGUUUUAUAUAUAUUACAUUAUUUUAUUCUCUAAAACCUCUUUUAUAAAUGAGGAAACAUUAAAUGAUGUUUAAAGAGGUCAAGCAACUUGUCCAAGUUGGCACAGUUAGGAAGUAGCUGAACUGGGACUUGACAGGUUUGUCUCAGUGGCCUAUGAUUUUAGUUGUUAUACUAUAUGAUCUAUCUUGGACUAGUUGAUAAAACAGCUCUUUAGUUAACCUCUCUUCUUUUAAGAGUUUUAGCAGAUUUUAAAUAUUUCUUUCCUAGCUAGUCAGUAACUUAAUUUUUAAGCUGCACACAUACACAGACAAGUUCAGAUGAAGAAAAAAAAAAAACACACAAAAAAACCAAACACAGGCUCCAGAUAGACUAUAGUUGCAUUUCUUGCGGAUCCGUGGUUGCACCCACACUACAAGCUCAUGAUACACAUCCCUCCAGACCUGGCUUUAGAAACCCAUUUUGAACAGGGGAAACUUGAAAUAUGCAGACUGCGGUCUUGACUCCCCUUAAGAAUGCCUGCUUUUAUUGGGUUUACCCUGUAAUCCUGCAACUUUUGGCCAGAGUCAAAUAGGGCGACGAUGUUUUUCUACUUGUCUUCUACACAAUCCGGUUCAUUUCAAAAUGCUUCCAACUAGUCCCCACUGCAGACUUUAUUCAUUGCAGUACUCUUCUUGACUUUCAUUAAGCAGAACCUCAGAUCAGAGCAGCGUGGCCCAGACAUUGGGCUGGUCGGUCCACUCAGGAGUCGAUCCUUCUGUGCAUCCACCUUUAAGACCCACCAGUUGAGUGUGUUGUGUUUCCAACACUGCAUUCCAAAGAGACCUUUUAUAAGGAAAAGUGGCUGCUGUUUAAUUCAUUUCAGAAAGUAGAUGGUGAACCCUUAUUGCUUUGAUCUGCUUUCACACUAAGUCCGUUUGUUCAUGGGAGGUUUGCAUUCUCUUCAACAUAAAAUUUGUUUAAAAAAAAUCCGACUCCUUGUUCCUGGGCUUCCAUAAUGACGUUUGAGAGAACUUUGUUUAAUUCGGUUUUAAUUCUGUCCCUUUCAAGGAAAAUGGUCAGAUGCGACCAGGACAUGGAAACAUGAUCUUGCUGUCAGUGCCUAACAAAGCUUGCAGUCUAACAGACUUCUAUUAACAAACAAACAAACAAAAACAAACAAACAGAGCUUUUUCCAUUAUUGCCUCAUAUUCUUCCUUCUUUCCCCACAUUUUCUGAAAUGUAAUUUCUAACGGGUGGGAAACAGUCAUUUUAGUGUGAAAACUUGCUAGAGUGGAAAGGCCAUUGUGUACUUCCUGUAGACUAAAACGCCAGAGGAGAAUUUGCCAAGGAGAAUCCUUGGCAGAAGGGGGGAGGUGGUACCUUGGAAUCAACUCUUAACUAUGUGAAGGCUUUGGGUCUUGGUGAAUUUUCCAAGCAUGGGGUAUUGGCUUUCUGGAGGCUGGACUGAAGAAGUCUACUGCCCCCUGAGAGCAUGCCAGGGGCACUGCUUAGCUGAGGCCCACCAUUGUACUGACCAGUCAACUAGGCCACAUCCAGAAGGGCUUUGCUUCACAUCACUUGACAGGUGAUUGAAAAUGCUUAAUGUCAGAAUACAGAAGAAGCCUGACCAAAGCAACUUUAGAACACAGCAAAGAUGUGUGGACUUGUGUAUGUGUGUGUUUGGUAUGUGUGUGGUGGGUGUGUGUAUGUGUAUAGAGAUGGGUCUGAGGCAUGGAUUUUAUUAAUGUGAUUAUUUAAAUAGACUCUCCCAAAUGCAAGAGCAGCAGAUGUUGCCACAAAAAUGAAGAAAAAAGGCUCGGGGCAUAUAUGUCACAUUAACUAUAUUGGACAGCAUUCAAAUGAUAAACAUUUUAAUCACUCCAGGUUAUAGUUCUGCUUUAGAUUUUGUUAAUAUGUUAAUAGAAAAAUGCAAAUUUACACAUCGGAUUCUAAUAAAUAUGCAUAAAUAAUUAGAUUUUACAAGAGAAAAGGACCUUAGGGAUUAUCUCCUCCAGUCCUCGUGUUAAAGGUGAGGUCAAGACUUUCACCAGACUGCAGAGAAGUUCAGUGCCUUGCUAAAGGUCUUACAGGUAAUUAAGGGCAGAACUGUGAUUGAAAUAUAGACUCUCUGACUCCAGGUUUAGUGCUGCCUCCUCUAUCACCUGUAAUAGAUUCAGAGGCAAAAACAUAAACUUGUGUCUGCUAUGCUCAAUUCCCAACAAAAUGUUGCAAUGAUAUUUUGUGUCUAUUUCCUGCCUUGAAGCUUGAUGGAAGGUAGUGAUUCUGAGUUCAUUAAAACAGAUGGCUUGACUUUUUUUAAACCUUAGUUCUCUAUCACACUGAAACUAUUUCUAGAAUUUAAAAAAAUCACUUUUUAGGGGAUAAGUGAAUUUAAAAAUUCAGUGUUUGAGGACAUUAAGGCAUAUUAAGCAAACUAAAUACUCCAGAUUGUAUAUUAAACAUCAAGUACCAACUAUAGGGUGCAUUUUUCCAUAGUCAUUUGAAAUUUAUUUUAAGGUUUUCCUAUUGAGAUCCUAUUGGGGGAGAUAAUAAGAUAUGUCAGGUUUUGUUUUGUUUUCUCCCUAGGUUUAAUAAGUCUCCUGUGAGUGACAUAUAGCUGGGAAUAAAUGGAUUACAUUUGUAACCAAAUUAAGGUGAUGGUAGACAGGAAGAAGCCAGAAUAUGACCUACUGCUUAUUGAUAGAGAAGAUGUAGCUGGAAUCUUGAGAAUCUUAGGUCAUUUUUGGCUUUGAAAUUGUUGUAUUAUUUGUUCACUGUAAAGUAACGUUUUGCCCAUAAACAAUUUCAAAACAAACAAAUAAGUCUACACCCAAUGAUGUCUUCUGUGGAUGAUUCCCCAUCCACCAGGGGCAAAAUGGAUUUUUAUUUCUAGGGACAUUCGGUGAGAACAGGAUGAGCCGAAGAUGGGGUAAGCCUGCCAAAUGUCACAGGACUGUGUCCUUGAGCCCUUUGUGUCCUGCUGCAAUACCUUCUAGGAAACAAACUGAUGAAAACCUAAUUCCACAAAACGAUAUCGCUCUGGAGAUGGUAUUAUGGCUCCUUCCAAUUUUCUUCAUGAUCUUACAGGCAGGUGAAUAAGAAGUUUAUUUAAUAAAACAAUGACUUGCUGAAGGAGACCAAGCUAAGAGCUGCAUGUCACCGUGACAACUAAACAGAUGGAUUCAUUUGGUGUGGCCCCUCUCAGGGCUGCCAUUAGCCCAUCAGGAAGGUCUCCAUUACAAUGCUGACCAAAUGGAAAACAGGCCUGUUGAUCUACAAAUGCCCCUACAGUCUUGAAAGUAGUUCUCUCAAAACCUUUUGAAAUAAAUAGAAUACCAGUUACAAAAUUGUAAGUACCUUUACUUGGGAUGAGUGCUGAAAAACAAAACAAUGUGUCCCAUGACAUCAGUGGUUUUCAAAAUUCAGUGUCUGUAUGAUUCAUUCGCAUAAUUUACCAUGUUUCACAUUUUCAAAAGCUUUCGUGCUUCUCAGGUAAGUGGGGAAGCCUGGGCCUUUCCCUGCCAGUCUCCAUCAAGGUGGUAAGAGGGAUGGGGUGCCUGGGUGGCUCAGUCAGUUGAGCAUCUGACUCUUGAUUUCAGCUCAGGUCAUGAUCUCACAGUUUGUGAGUUCGAGCCCUGCAUUGGGAUCUGUGCUGACAGUGUGGAGACUGCUUGGGAUUCUCUCUCUCUCUCUCUCUCUCUCUCUGUCUCUGUCUCUCCCCUGCUCACUCUCUCUCUCAAAAAUAAAUAAAUAAACUUUAAAAAAAAGGUGGUAGGAGGGAAAGGAGGUGCUGACUUUUCCAUUUCCCACCCUGAGAAGCAUUAUUCUCCAUGAAUCCUCAAGAAAUAUCCAUGCUUUCCAAUAUCCAUGGAAAUAUCCAUGCUUUGAAGAACUUUUUUUUAAGAAAUUUUUAAUUUAAAGUUGGGAAUAUUACCAUUGUUUUGUUUCUCAGGUUGUAUGGUAGUAAAAAUUGCCAAAGAAUCAUUUAAAUAGUGAGAGUACUGACAAACUAUAAUGUAUUAUGUGGCUCAAAAUGCUUCCUGAUCUGAUUAGCUACCAAGACCUUAUUUAAGACAAGGAAGGGUGGAGACUUCACUGGAAAUGACUCAUGGAUGUUCAAUUUGUGGAUUUUAUUUGUGGAAAAAAAAGUAUUUUGAUAAGUAGAGAUAGCUGUUUCAAAGAAAAGUGUUGAGGCUCUAUUAAGAAGUACACAUUCAAAUCUAUUAAUCUAGAUAUCUAGUCUCAAAACGUGUAUGUAUGUGUGCAUGUGUGUGUGUGUGUGUGACAUUUUUAAAGUAAUUUAAACAAAGCCAUUGUUUCAUACCCUGAAUUAACAACCCAUGAAACAAUUCCCUAAUUGUUAAAUGGAUAUUGUGAUGAAUAUUAAAAAUGUUAGCAGAAUAAAAAUUGUCUGGAAAUACAGAGAAUCGUGUCUUAGGUAUUGCUUUAUUAUUAGGGGGGAAGACAUUUAGUAUGGUGUAAGGAGAAUAUAUUUUUGGAAUUAGGUUGAGUUAAAGUUCUUGUCUUAUCCAUAGGUGGCAUUAGACAAAUCACUUAACAUCUUGCAGUUCCCUUUCUUGAUCUAGAAAAUGAGAAUAGCAUAUGCAUUAUGAAGAGAUUGUAAGUACUAACUGGAUAAAACAAUCUAGGACAUGCUUGGCAAAUAAUCGGUGCUUAACAUCACUCUCAUUAAAGUUGGUGAUUAUUAACUGGCACUUUACAAUUAAAAUACUCUGGACAAAAAUAAAUAAAUAAGAAUGACUGGUCCAAUUAAUCUUUUCAAUAGAGGUACAGACAGAAUAUAUAUUUUAUAUUUUUUUAAUGUUUAUUUAUUUGUAGAGAGAGAGAGCAUGAUAAGGGGAGCAGAGGAGAGAGAGAGGGAGAGAGAGAGAAUGCCAAGCAUUCUCAGGCUCAAGCAGAGACUGAUGUGGGGCUUGAACUCAUGAACCGUAAGAUCAUGAUCUGGGCCGAAAACAAGAGUCCGACACUUAAUCGACUAAGCCACCAGGCACCCCUGGAAUAUUUUUUGGGUCACCAUUGCAGUGAUUUGCUACUGAAGAAACCUUCUUUCUCCUCACCAAGUCUCUAUGGCCCGUAUUUAAUUUGGGAUUUGGAGAAGGACAGGUGGGAUGUUUUCCCAGAGUACUUCAGUGCUAUAUAGCUGAAAAAAAACCGUAAGUAUGUUAAAUGCAAAAAAGUGCCUAUGAAUAUUCAGUAGUUCCGCUAAUGGGAUCAUAGAACUAAGGGAGGUAGGAGUUUGAUUCCCACUCGGGCCUUUUAGUUUUCUUGGCUUCUCAGCCUCUGGCCCCCACAGGCCAUUGCCAUGAAGGUAUCAAGCAGCAGCAUGUGUAUGGAUCUACAGAACCUCCUGAAAUUACAGAGCAGAGUUCAAUGUUAGCAAGUUGUAAUAAAGAAGACAUGUUUUGUUCAAUAAUCAUACUGAAGGUUUUGCUUCAGAGACCCCGCUAAAAUACGGGAUGUCUGAAUGGCAUACUACUAAAAUAUUAGGGUGCGAAAAUCAUUCUUCUUUUUUUUAGACUGCAUUUAAAAAACUCACUACAAAAGCUCAGUGUGUGAGGUGGAUAAGCUUCAGACAAAGGAAAAACCAAACCUGCUAGUCAGCGGUACAAAAAAAUGUCAACUUCUACUUCAUGUUGCCAAAGAGACCGGGUAAACAGACUUAAACAAAGAGAAGUGGCUGUCUUGGCAAGAAGGCUAAUGUGGAAAACCUCUUCAUUGUUGUAUGGCAUGCUUCUUUUCAGAAGAGCAGACAGGGAGAGAGGAAAAACAAGAAUAGAAGCAUCUUUCUUCCAAAGAGGGGCAUCUGCGUCCCUGAGAGAUGAACUUAGCCGCCCAGGGACGACAUCUUAGUAAAUCACUUGGAAACAAAGCUUGAAAGGCCUAUGGAUUGUCUCACGAUUCCCUCACUACUUUACCCUCUGUUCUUUGAUCAGCUGUGUGAGGAAGUGGUCUCAUAGGAGAUCUUUUUAUUCAAGCUUUCAGCCUGUGUUUACUCUGUGUUUUCCAGGCAGGGCAAUGCCUGGAAGUUGGGGGAGAGGGUGAGUAACGGAGUCUGUCUGACUGAUGAAGGUCACCAUUUAACAAGUAAAUACAGAGUUAAGUCUCAUCUGACUUACAUCUCUUUCCUCUUAGAAGUUUAUCCAAUCCAACCACAUAGCCAGAUGCCAUUAUUUCCCCCACAUUAGCUUCAACACAUACGAGGCAUUACAGAUAAAUGCAAUGGCGUUUCAAGUGAUCCCAUUCCUCAAGAUAUUUACAGUACAUGGUAUAGAAAAAUGCUCUCAUUAUAGGCUUUGGUGAGAAAAAUGUUGUGUUUUUACACCACCAUAUAUGCAGUAUGAUUAUACAUCUGUAAAGCUCUUCAGCAAACGAUAAGUCAACAGUGAUCAUUAAUGAUGGAUACAAAAACUAGAGGUUACUGUUUUCUUCCUUCUAUUAAUGUCUGUCUCCAAAUUUUCUAGAAUAUGUCCAUAUAAGAAUUUAUAAUUUAUUAAUGUGAAUCUGGUUUCAGAUGUUGAACUUUGUGGUUUAUUCUUUCAUGCAGUUUGAGGCGAGCACAAUGAAGUUUGCCAAAACCAAGAUAUAAUGAAACAGUUCUUUCUACAUCUGCAAGUUUGUUUGCAAGUUUUUUAAAAAAGAAAAUGCCUUUCUUUUAAUGUGUGUCUUCAAACCCGUCACCAUAGAAGUUGCUUGUUUUGAAAGGGAAUAAAAUAAGAUUGCAAACCAGCUCUAACUUCAUUGGGAAGCUUCCACCUAAGCAGAAGGCAAAUGUUAGCACUGGUUGGCACAGUUCUACAGAUAAAUUCGGAUACACUGAGAAGUACUGCAGGGGACCUCCUUCCAGGGAUGCCAGGCCAAUGAGACAGACGUAAGGUGCUAAUAUUACGAUUUUGUAGAGAGUCCACCGGCAGUCUCUAACUUAGAUGUCUGGGUUGCUAAGUGUUGAAGUGGACCCUGGAGGUCACGUAAAAUACCUUUUCAACUAAUGAGAGAAUUCCUGUCUAUGAUACUUCUGGCUGAGGUUCUGAACUGGAACGCUUCCAAGGAUGGGGGUGAGGCAGCCUUCUGCAUUACAAACACCUGAAAAGCCUAAAGUUUGGGUCUUUGCUGUCUGCAACAGCCCCUCCUACCCUGUCCCGACAUCAAGAUCCACUCAAGGAUCUUCUACAGGUAACCACAGUCUUUGAAACAAAGUGGCUCAUUUUAUAUAUCUGGACCCUUUCAGGCAACAAAGCGAGAUACUGAAAGGGGUGGAAUUACCCAACGGAGUCACAGAUGGAAAUAUAGUUUGGUGAAGAAACAGGAAGCAAUAGAAAUGGAAGGACUCCCAUAUAUUUUUCUUUACAGUCUAAAUAUGCUGCACACAUGAAGACUGCAACAGAUCCAGAUCAAAAUGGCCCUUGCUGUGCUUUGGGAAAUCUGGGCUGUGAAGAUCUUCUGCAGUAGAAAGGGUGGUUCUAUCACGCUACCUGGAAGGCCAGUCUGGGGUGUGCUCACUGGAUGUGUUGAGAUCAAUUACCCACAAGUCCCCACGGAGCCUCUCUUCGACAAUGUCUGUUCCUUACACGUUAUCUUCUAGCCGACAGCAAAAACAUGCCAGCUCAUCCUUACUUCGUGGACACUGUGGCUUUAAAGGGCAGAAACCUGCAGCUCCCAAAACAGUCUAGUGAAGUCAACUCAUAUCAAGAAUGAAACGUUUCUGAAUUGCAAACUCUGGAGAGCACCGAAUGCCAUAUUGAGAAGUUGGAUGAGGAAAAUAAAGAAUUGGAAAUACUAGACGUUUGGAUAUUGGUUGCAGCUUUUUAGGAUUAUCUCUGGCCCAUGUAAAUUGCAAAAGCAGAUGUGAACAUUGACAGUGUAAACUCGACUAAAAUACUACUCUAAAUAUGAAUGUCUGCUAUUAUAAAAGAAUCUACUGAUAAUAAAACCUGAGGAAAUAAACAAUUAGAAAAUAGCAGGUUAUUUUCUCUUCCUUAAAAGUCCUGAAAUUUUAAUUUCACCAUGCAUGGUCACAGGAUAAAACAUCUGUUCUAAUGGAAAAAUAACAAAAAUCCCUUUCUGAAAAGCCCCACAGAGAAUUUUUCACAUGAGUAGAUGGAAAUAUGUAUUCCAUUUUUAGAUAACUACUCUUUCUUGAUGCAAAAAAUUUGGUGGUUAAAAAACACAAAUAUAUCACAUUUGCCUUCAAUCACGAAAGCCUAAUAAGCACCAGAGUUGCAAAACCGUCAUGCUUAAUGAACUCAUUCAUUUAUUCAUUCUUUCCUUUCGAGAAGUGAAUGACAUCCAGGCACUGGGAAGGCUGAAAUAAAACAAUUAAUCCCUGCUCUUAGGAGUUCACACUUUAGCCGGGAAAGUCAAACCCCAACCCCAAUUAAAAGAUGAUGUCAUUAGCCCUGAGAUAGAGAUACACACAGGAGUGACUUGAGAAGGGACAAGGAAUCCAGAUCAGCAGUAUCCGGAAAAGCUCCUAAGAAGAGGUGACAUCUGAAUGGUGCCUUUGAAAGCGCUAUGAAGACAGCCAGGCAGAGAUUCUCUAGACAAGGAGGAAUGAUUUAUGCAAAAUCAUUGAUGGGUAAAAAUGCACCAAUCAAUCUCAUACACAGCACCUGAGCGUGUUGCCUAUAUUUCUGUUAGCAUGAAUCUUACGCCUAUUUUUAUGGGCUUUUAUGUCGCCCUUGGCAAGCAGUAUACUCUUAGAAAUGGGCCGAUCCAUUCCCGUGCUUCCUAUUUUGUCUUGCACUUACAACUCGUCAGCAUAGGUUCGAUGCAAUGAAAAAAUGAAUUACUGUGAGGUUUAAUAAGAUCAUUUGUGAAACAUACACUUCACCAAAACGUCCACAGAACCACUCAUUAACAAGGGCAACUCUUGGGGUUUUGCAAACAUGGCCCCCUUCCCAGGGCAGGGGCAAGGGAAAGUCUCUAGUCUUUUCAAAGAAUCUCAUCCCCAAGGCAUUUUUGUGGUCAUGUGGAAAAAGGGUCUGGGAAAUGUGCUCUCAGAUGGCAUGGCUGGAAUGAGGAAUGGGAACAGUUUUGCCUUCUACACAGUUUCUGGAAAAGGCAAUAAGAACAAAAAAAAGCAUCAGUGUGGGUCAGCAUUCUCGGUGCCUGAGUUGAAAGGUGCUAUAAACAGGGGCGAGUCUGAUAGACCAUCUCCACCCCGGCCCCAUGCCAAGAAUAGCUACAGGGUGGCAACUCAAAUCAGGGCUGGUGAGCUCUGUCUCACGACUUUGGAGUCCCAACCAGCAUCUGGGAAAGUCGCUCUGAAGAGACAGCCACCUUCCCGGGCACAACGAGCGUCGUGCCCAGGUCCCACACAGAAAGACGUUCAUCUCAGAGCAGAAACAGGGCUCCGCUCCCUUCAGGCAACUUACAAAAUAAAGCUUUAAGUAUGGGGAGCUGGGAAUUUCUGGAAAGAGGGAGGCCUAUCAUCUAAACCUGAGUUCUUUUUUUAAAGCAAGUAAAGCAGAGAACAGCAAUUAUUUCCAUGCCAGUUCUCAGGGGAAUUGCUGUAGCCAGAAUCAGCUAAUGAUGGUUAUUAAAGGUAAAUGUUCCCUGAUCCUCAGGAAGUGAUUUUUCAUCCUGGUGCUUUUGAGGCUUUGUCUGCACUUGAAUCCUGGGUAGAAGAAAGCCCUCCUGGAUUCAUCCUAAUCUAAUACUCAAAGUGGGUGAUUCGCAGGAGUCUGUUUCUUCUUCUAAAUAUUGUGGUAAUGGGAGAUUCACUCUUGGCUUCGACUCUUCACCCCAGCAAUAGAAGAGUACAGCUUUAAGACUAGAACUGGUACAUCUGCUUAUUCCCUUUUAUUUACUUUUUUUUUUUAAUUUUUUUUUAACGUUUAUUUACUUUUGAGACAGAGAGAGACAGAGCAUGAACGAGGGAGGGUCAGAGAGAGAGGGAGACACAGAAUCUGAAACAGGCUCCAGGCUCUGAGCAGUCAGCACAGAGCCUGACGCGGGGCUCGAACUCACAGACCGCGAGAUCGUGACCUGAGCCGAAGUCGGACGCUUAACCGACUGAGCCACCCAGGCGCCCCUGCUUUUUCCCUUUUAACAACAAAAUAAUAAAAUGCAACAAAAUGCCACUGUUUCUGUUUUUUCUUUUUUCCUUCUUCAUCUUCUAGGGUAUUUACCUUUCUUACCUAAUUCAGAAGCAUGCUGGGAAGUCUAACUACAUCUGAAAGGGGAUGUUCUGUAAAUCCUUAAGAUCGGAGUAGUAACAGGGAGUCAUUUCUAAUCCGGGAUAAACUCCACUAAUCGGCUUUCUUACCCCAGGUACAAAACACAGUAAAGCCAACCAACAUUUGGAAGAGGAAGGAAGAGCUGUUAUAGUUGCCCAGUGAAGUCCUUUUCACACUCAGCAGAGGGCAAAUACUAUUUCCUCCGUAUCUCUAUGCUAGCCAGAACAUCGCGUAUCAUGUCGUCAGCAAGCAUGCUGCUUCCUGAAAUGCAAAGGCUGUCUACUUUUGAAGUUUGUGUGUGUACGUUUGUUCGUGCACUCAGGCACAUGCAGGCUGCUAAACUUAUUACUACCCAAGAUUAAGAAGC